AGAAUGUAUAAAAGCUCAUGGAAACGCCUACAACACAGAACAGUGGUCCUGCUAGACAACAAUGAAUUACAACUCAGGAAAGAAAAAAAAAGAGAAGCUGCACGUAUAACACAUAACUUAGAAGUAGCUCUACAGAUGUACCAACACACACGAGAUUGAAACAUAGCUGACCUCACGCACUCUCAUGAGGAAUUCCGGAAGGAGCUUCGUGAGACCACUACUGAGAGGCUUCCGAAAAAAAGAAAAGCCGUUGCAAAGCAGUUUAUAGCAGAGACUCAAUCUAAGAAUAUCUGAAGAAGAAAUUGUAUUCCGAAAUAUCAUCGGACUAUAGAUAACUAAAUUACAACAGAUUUGACUUCGCCAUGUCAACAAACUUCAAAAUUGGUAAAAGUUUAUCGAUUUUUACAGCUAUACGUGGGUGCCUCUGAGAGAAAAAGUUGACGAAAAUGCAGAUAGGGUCAUGACGAAUGUUCUCCUAAAAUUCGAGUGACAUGCGUACUAAUUUGUGGACGUGCAUAAAUUAUAUUCACGUACACACACAAAUACACACACACACAUCUCGGCUUUUAUAUAUAUACGGAUAUAUACUUUUCUAUCUAUCUGUCUAUCUAAAUAUUUAUGUAUAUAAAUAUAAUUUUGAA